rnacentral:rRNA from 1 species
UACGUAGGGGGCAAGCGUUGUCCGGAUUUAUUGGGCGUAAAGAGCGUGUAGGCGGCCAUACAGGUCAGCUGUGAAAACUCGAGGCUCAACCUCGAGACGUCGGUUGAAGCCGUAUGGCUAGAGUCCGGAAGAGGAGAGUGGAAUUCCCGGUGUAGCGGUGAAAUGCGCAGAUAUCGGGAAGAACACCCGUGGCGAAGGCGGCUCUCUGGGACGGUACUGACGCUGAGACGCGAAAGCGUGGGGAGCGAACAGG